rnacentral:rRNA from 1 species
ACGAACGCUGGCGGCGUGCUUAACACAUGCAAGUCGAACGGAAAGGCCCUGCUUUUGUGGGGUGCUCGAGUGGCGAACGGGUGAGUAACACGUGAGUAACCUGCCCUUGACUUUGGGAUAACUUCAGGAAACUGGGGCUAAUACCGGAUAGGAGCUCCUGCUGCAUGGUGGGGGUUGGAAAGUUUCGGCGGUUGGGGAUGGACACGCGGCUUAUCAGCUUGUUGGUGGGGUAGUGGCUUACCAAGGCUUUGACGGGUAGCCGGCCUGAGAGGGUGACCGGCCACAUUGGGACUGAGAUACGGCCCAGACUCCUACGGGAGGCAGCAGUGGGGAAUAUUGCACAAUGGGCGGAAGCCUGAUGCAGCAACGCCGCGUGCGGGAUGACGGCCUUCGGGUUGUAAACCGCUUUCGCCUGUGACGAAGCGUGAGUGACGGUAAUGGGUAAAGAAGCACCGGCUAACUACGUG